UCAGGUCUCAUUUACUUCCUCUUUUUUUUUUCCUUUUCCUUUUCCUAUACCUUCCUUUGGUCCUUAUAAGUAUCCAAAUUGCCCUAAAAUAACUUCUGCACAUGCAGCAUUAGGAAGCAGUGUUUCCCAACCACUACAUUUGAAUGAUUCAUUCCUCUGAGGACCCUCAAGUACUUCAGAAGAACUAAAAAAUGAAUAUCACGUUACACCAAAGAAGAAAUGAAAGCUGCCAGUGUCUUCUGAAGUUAAACAGGCUCCUGUUCUUUGACCCAGCAAUCCAAUCCUAGGACUCCAACUAAGCCACUAUGCUGGGAGCAGAGAUGGGGAAGAAUUGCUGAGUCAUGAUAAGAGAAGGCACUAUAGGAAGAAACAGUGAACUCUUAACAGCUGGGCAAGCAAUGAGUCAGCCUGGGUGGUCACUCCAGAUGCUCCCGGACACAUCCCAAUUUCUAGGAUGCCUUGCUGAUAUGUACUUCUCAAGGAAAAAAAAUGGUCACUAUAUAUAUUAAACUGACAGAGGAAAAGUGGAAAUAACAUAUGUCUUAGAUCUCCAUUUUGGCGAAGACAGGCUUCAGCUGUAAAGAAUCGAAGAAUAAAAUGAGACCAACAAAGUGAAAUCAUUUCUGAACCCAGUAACUAUUACUGCAGCACUGAUCUGCUGAACCGGCAGAGGAGUCCAAAAGAAAAAUCUACUCAUCCCAAAUGAGCAUUUACUCUCAAUAUGAUGUGUUUCACUAGCUCCUUUCCUCUAAAGCACUUUUUUUCCCUUGCAUUGUUUUUUUUUCUAAUUAUAUGUGUGGCUUUAGACAAAUUAUUCCAAUUCUCUGCACUUCGAGUUUAUCAAAUAAAAAUCAAGAAUAAUCUCUAGCUCAUAGUGUGUAGAGACUGAGUUUGAUUCUGUAUGAAGUGCCCAGCGCAGGCCUGGCCAUCUAGUGAGAGAACAGUAAAUGGUCUACUUGGGAGAACUCCUCAGUUAGAACUUUAAUGAUUAGGUAGCUAAUGAUCUGUAAUACCCUCCUUAGCACCUGUUAAUCUCACUUUAAUAAGGAGAGUAUGUCCGGCCUUUUACAAGAAGCCACAGAUACUCCAGCCAGCAAGGUUGGAGGCAAGGCUGGAUCUGGACCAAAGAGGCUGGUCAGCAAGUGCUUGGGAGCCAAGUCCUGAAAACAUUCAUCAGAAACGUUUCCUGCAUCUUCAGUGGCCUGUAGACUGGGCAGCAGGCAACUCUCUAAAUUUUACUGCAGUCAGAAGUUCAGGAUGGGAACCUGCUCAGAAAGGGUGGGGCGCAGCAUUUCAGGGGUUAUGGUCAUCUCCAGGAGAGUGGAGUAGGUUGUGAAGAGGCGAGUACUUCUACAGAAUCUCUAAAGCCAUCAUUUUGACAUAGGAAAUAUAGAGGGUAAGGGAUUGAGAUGAAAAAUGAAACUACUCUUUCAAGUGUGUUUCCUCCACACUUCUCUCUUAUCCUCCCUUUGUCUACGCUCUUCCAUGGGUGGUAUUUUAAAAGAUGCCUUUUCUAGUAGAAGUUUUGUAAUACUUUAAAAAUGCUCAGAGGCAUUUUUCCAAUUUGGAGUCAAUAUACUUUGUAUACUGAUGAGAUACUGCAGUUAAGUAAUUAGCUGUCUGCAACUAGUUAAUUAAGAGAUACUGCAGUACCUUGGCCUCAGGCAUUAAGCAAGUCUAGCUGAUAAGCUGGAAAUUGGCAAAUAGGAGGAUUGACAAGACACAAGAGCAUAAUGCGACACUCAGUCGCAUUUGACAAAAAAAAAAAUUUGUUUUUCCAGUGGGUAAAUGAGUGAGUGCCACCUAAAGUCAUACAGGUGGGUCUUUUAAUAAACCCAAAUAUUGUCAGGAAAGCGGAGACUUCCAACUGUUGGAAAAUGUCGCAGUAAACAGAAUUCUUCCUGAAUUUCAUUCUAUUUUCAUUUUCCUAUCACCCCAGUCCUGAAAUUACUGAAUUCAAGGGGAGAGUUAAGACUGAGAAACCCUUGAGGUUGCCACCUGGCAGGGUCACAACCAGCAGAGACCUCGUGUGGACUUUUAAAGGGCAGCUUUUCCUCUAGCCAGACCCUUGCCCUUGCUCCAGCAUCCAGCUUGCUGAGUAGGACCUGAACAGGACUCCACCUACACUUACCCUUUGGGAAUUCACGCUCAACCUGCGCAACCGUAGGCAGGACCCCCACCUCCCACCCACCCAGAUCAAAGGAAGACUUGACUUUGGAGAGUAAAUCCUCUCGGAGAAGAGAUCAGAUCAUUUCUCCCUACCUUGGAAGGAAAGGAACAUUUCCAAGUGAAAGGUCUUGUCUGCUACUCACCUACAGCGCAAGUCCCACGGUGCCUUGAGUGUUUGCGAGUGUCUCCUCACACCCAGAAAUGCCCCACUAAGGGACAUCUGUGUUUCUUGGAGCUAAGAAUUACCUAUUGGUGAGUGGAGUAGGAAAUAGAGGAAUAGUAUCAGAAUCUGGGCGGGCCUUCCACAUGCCCACCUGAAGACCCUGAUGUGUGACCACGCCCCCUUAGGAGCAUGCCCUCUCCCACUCCUGGCUCCCAUCGCUUGCAAAUUCUUAUGUAAUGAGAAAAUGCUGAAAGAGUAUACACAUGUGAAGAGGAUCAAAGCAGAAAACAAACUGGGAAAUUACAGAUUCCUCCUUAAGUCAAAGCACUAGACUAUUUGAAUGGUAUCUCUCUCCCACACAGUGUUCUUCAAUGCCGUGCUCAUUGUGAGCUGCACUGACUGUCUGCAUAAGAAUCACUUGGAUACAUGUCAAAAAUACAUCCUAGGCUUACUAAAUCUGAAUUAGUAGGAACAGAGCUAGAAAUCUACAUCUUUUAACAAAGUCUCCAGGUGACUUUCAUGUAUUCAGAAGUUUGUGAAUGACUAAUCUACCAGGACUGGUAUCUUAUACAGUCAAUGUUUGUUUCUCUAUCAGAAUCUGGGAGGGCUUUCCACACGCCCACCUGAAGACCAUGUGUGACCACGCCCCCAGAGGAGCAUGCCUUCUCCCACUCCCCAAUCCCAUUGCUUAUGACUUCAUUCACAUUUAGAGCGUGGACAGUGAAUCCCCAAUGUCAUUUACACAGGUAUCUAUUAGCCCAAACCUAGCAUAGUUCUACUUGACUGUCAGCACAGAACAGCAAUCUAACUUCCACUGGCCAUAAAUAAUCAUGAGCUUUUGCUAAGCUGUUUCCAUUGAACUUAUAUGGGAUCAGUCAUCCAGUUCUGAAACUGCCCUAAAACCAAUCAUAUCUCAAAUACAUGCCCGUUAUCAUGUAUCCCCAUUCACUCUGUUUCCAAAUCUUGGGACAGUGCUGAGAAGAAGCUCUUUGCUGAAAGAGUGAAAGUAUAGUUGGGAUGGAAGGAGAAACACAUGAGUAGGUCAACUUGUCUCUGAACAAGGCAGUCCAUUUCCUGGCCACAUUCAGAACCUCCUUUUUAGUGCCCAUAGAAGACUCCAUGAAGUUAAAGGGUGGAAAGGGCUUUAGGACAGACCAGGAGAACAGCUUUAAAGUAGUCAGGGUGUAUUAGUUUCCUAUUGCUGCUAUAGCAAAUUGCCACAAAUUUGGUGGCUAAAAACCAUACAGAUUUAUUAUUUUAUAGUCCUCUUUUAGUUAAAAAUCUGGUAUAUGUCUCACUAGGCUAAAAUCAAGGCACCGGCAAGGCCGCAUGCAUUCCUUUCUGUGGGGUCUAGGUAGGACAUUUCCUUGCCUUCCAAGUUCUAGAGGCUGUCUACACUUGUUGGCUUGUGACCUUCUUCCUCCAUCUACAAAGUCACAAAGGCAAGGCAAGUCCCUCUCACAUCGCAUCCCUCUGAGCUCCUCCUGUGCCUCACUAUUCCACUGGUAAGGAUCCCUGUGACUAUACCGGGACCAUCAAGAUAAUCAAGCAUAAUCUCCCCAUUGUAAGGUCAGCUAAUUGACAACCUUAAUUCCAUCUGCAACCUUAAUUCCUCUUUGAAUGUAAGCAACAUAUUCACAGGUUCCAGGGAUGAGAACAUGGACAUCUUGAAGGGGAGGGUGAUUAUUCUGCCUACCACACAGGAGAACUCUGAACCCUAGUUAAGGAUGAGAGUAGAUGUCAUAAACACCACAUGUCAAUUCCAAGAUAUGAGGUUAGGCUAAAAAUAGGAAAGUAAAUCUAGUGAUCAGAAGCAUGAGGGAUUGAAGCAAACCAAGUUGCAGAACAGGAAAGAGGUUAGAUAAAGUGGUUCAGGACCCAUACAGAGAGUUAUGCAGUAGAGUUCAAGGCUUGCUUUCACAGGAUGCCAGUUGCAUUGUGGCACCACUCAUGAGCUUGAAAGGGUGUGUAGGUCCAGACAAAAUUUCACUGAUGCUAUCUCAUCUCUCAAUCUCUUACCAUUUUUCAUAAUCCUCCUGCUUACUUUUCUCUCUUCUGUUUACCUCUCUGAUCUCUUCCAUAUCUUCCUCCUAACCCUUAUUUUUCUUCAAAAAUAAAUGAAAGAAAAUCAACUAUAUAUAAAAUUGGGGGAAAAUUAAUGUUUUUACAGUAUUUUCUGAAUUUCAUUACAUGCAUAUACUACAUGCCAAUGACAUCUGGUUUGAUUA
rnacentral:lncRNA from 1 species